rnacentral:rRNA from 1 species
GUGUCAGCAGCCGCGGUAAUACAGAGGGUGCGAGCGUUGCUCGGAAUUAUUGGGCGUAAAGAGCGCGUAGGCGGUUUGCUAAGUCUGGUGUGAAAGCCCACAGCUUAACUGUGGAAGUGCAUUGGAUACUGGCAGGCUUGAGUGUGAGAGAGGAGAGUGGAAUUCCUGGUGUAGCGGUGAAAUGCGUAGAUAUCAGGAGGAACACCGGUGGCGAAGGCGGCUCUCUGGAUCAUAACUGACGCUGAGGCGCGAAAGCGUGGGUAGCAAACAGGAUUAGAUACCCUAGUAGUCC